AACGGUCUAUACCUGCGGUACCUGCGGAAGGAUCAUUAUCAAUUUACAGCGGACUUCGGUCCUGUCUGCACCCUUGUCUUUUGCGUACUAUAUGUUUCCUCGGUGGGCUUGCCUGCCGAUAGGACACUUAUAAACUCUUUUGUAAUUGCAAUCAGCGUCAGAAAACUAUAAUAGUUACAACUUUUAACAACGGAUCUCU
rnacentral:misc_RNA from 1 species